UGCAGACCAGGAGUCUUAAUUACCCUCCUAUUCUAAAGUGAAUAGCCCUUUUGUAAUAAACUCAUCAAAGCCAAGGGAGCUAGGGAGCAGGGAUGGAGGAAGAACUGCCUUGAGUGCUCUUGGGAUAGUAGUCUGAGUAACACUUGAAGAACAGCCUUCAGGAUGCUGCACUCAAUAGCAGCCCCAAGGCUCCUCCCGCUUACUCUCUGAGUAUAACUGAAAGAUUGAACAACAGAGCUGAGACUGUUAGACCCACAUGUAAACUGUCACCCAUUUGUAACAGCUACUUCCUUCUUUGCUACAUGAAAUGGGUGCUGUGACUUUCUGAGGGGGAUAAAGUGGGAAAUGUUUGUAAACCAGGUUGGCAGGCACAGGAUUCUUGUUGGGGCAGCUUUUUGCCGGUCUCUGCUUCCCUGCCCUCUCCCAGCAGUCUCCUCACCCACUACAAGGAAUCAAGCCUGCUUCUCCAGCUUGGCUCCUGCCUGAGAUCCCACCUGUAAAUCUUUCUUCUCGGAGAAAUAGGACUCCCUGCUUCCUUUUUAAUUUGGCUAACUUUGUGAUCUGUUUUCUAGACACUUACACAAAAAAUACCAGGGCACUCAGAAAUUGCCUACGUUGAACUGCCUGGGUGAGAAGUGUGGCGUGGCCAUUUCCCGUCAGAUGUCUGCUAUCUACUCAUCUGUCCUCUGUUGUUCCUAAUUGGGUUUAGUUCUUCCUGCUCCUGCCCUCGCGCAGCUGGGGAAAUAUUGCAUUUGUUCCUACUUAUGCUUGCCCCUUUCUCAUCUCCUCCCCCGAUCUCCUCCAUCUCCACCAUAUACAGAACCUUUUAACAUUUUAAUUUAACUUAAUUUUUUUGAUGCCCAGGCUGGUCUCUUAACUCCUGGGCUCAAGAAAUCCUCCCACUAACUCCUAAACUCAAGCGAUCCUCGCACCUCAGCCUCCCAAGUAGCUGAGACUACAGGUGUGUGCUACCAUACCCAGCUUCAUAACCCUUUAGUAACUGAGCUUAGAGAAUUCCCCCUGCUGCCACAAUGGGUUCUUUAAAUUUAAAAAUAAUUAUUAAAUAGGCAGUAAACACACAUGAUGCAGAACUUGAAUAGUAAAUAAAAAUAUACCAAGAAAAGUAAGCUCCUCUCUCAAUCUCAGCCCCAAAUACUCAGGUCUCUCCCUAGAAUGCCACCUUAGAGAGGUCAGUGUUACCUUUCUAGACUCAUCAUUCCAAAGCAGUGCUUUUCAUGCAAAAUGUUCCUGCUCAAGAACCUAUAAUGGCUGCUUAUUUCCAUAUCACUCCAUUCUAAGGACCUCCUUGCAAAUAUUCAGUGUCUUUUGCCUCUACUUCAACUCGAUGCCAGGCAGGUCAAUCUUACUAUCAAAUAAAUCACAACAGAUUUAAUUCCCUCUCAUGUAUUUGCCUCCGCUGUUUAUCCCACCUGGAAUGCCUUUUCUACUCCACUCUUGUUCUGAAAAUGUAGGUCACAUCCUACCCCCUCCAAAGCUUUUCUGAUUAUUCUGGCCUCUCCAAUUCCUCUGCGUUGGUUGCUCAGCCCUUACCCUCAUAUCACACAUUCUGCCUAUCACCUGUGCUUCCUGCCUAAGUCCUUCUAAGAGUUUCGUAUGCUCAUGUGCAUCCAUUCUCUCUCCCUGGUGUGGCCACAAGCUUCUUGUGGGAGGAGCCCUAUUAUAUGCUUUCUCUGAAUCCCACACAAUGUCUAGCCUCGCUGGGUACUCUGACCCCCACCCUAUCAGCUAGCACAGUGCCUGGUAUCGCAUAAUCUCCAUAACGUUUGUUGUGAUGAAAGGAACAGAGGAAGGGAUGAGUUCCAGAAUGCCCAUCCCCUUUCCCCGUGGCCCUGGAUGAUGCCCCCCUACCCCCAUCAUUGGUAGUGAUGGCUAUGCCUCCCCCAUCCACUCAGAGUUCCCCUCCACUGUAACCACCUAGAUCUCAGCAGAGACCUGACUUGGCUCUCACACUCACCUGGGGCUCACGCAUAUUGCUCAGAUCUGAAAUGCCUUCCUCUGACCACAAGCCUGGAGGUCCCUACCUCUCCCACCUCACCUCAUCUCCAGCUACUUGGCUCCUCUCUGCCCAGCCUCCUGGCCCAUCAACCCCUCAUGGCCUUGGGUCCUCCCAGCUUGGGUCUGUGGCCGGCUGAGCUGCCCCUUGUACUUCCUUGCCCCCAGGCCUCCUGCCACAGCUUGUUUCUCCUGCACUGUUCCACCUGGCAGCUGAGGAGAAAGGACACCUGUGGCCCAUCCAUCGAUCCCACCUCACCUAGGCCCUUGCUGCUGCUUAGCCACCCUCACUUCAUCCCUGCACUGACCACAGCAACCGACUCCACAAAACCAAAGGUCUUAACCCCUCGCCUACCUCCUUGUCUCUGCAGCUUUAACAUGUAGCCUCCUCCCUCGAGUCUCUAACCCGGGGCUACCCUGGCUCUGAUCCUGGACUUUGCUUCCCCAGUCCCGCCUCCUCUGCCUCUUCCCAUCACCCUAGGGCAUCUAGCUUUUCUUUCUUAGUGACCUCAGGUGCUCACGGCAUCAAUUACUGUCCAGAUGAAGAGGCGCCCCAAUCCGUAACUCUAGCGUGAAGCCCACGCUCCAAUUCUGUGCAUGGACAUCACUAGCCAGGUAAUACACCAGCACCCCAAAAUCAACCUGUCAAAGCAAAAAUUCAUAAUUUUCCUUCCCAACCAAGAUUCCUGUGUGACUCCUCUGUGACACUUGGUCCUGUCGCUUUUAUUUUUCUUGAAAAAUAAUAGUAACAAUAGUCAUAAUGGCUAACAUUUAUUGAAAACUAUUAUGAGCCAGCCACUAUUGUAAGCAUUGUACUUAUAUUAAUAUAUUUUGACACAGUUAUUUCUAUGUGAUUAUCUAUGCUAUCAUUGUCAUUUCUAUAUUAUCAUUAUGCCCAUUUUCCACAGAAGACAACCAAAGCACAGAGAGUUUAAGUGACUUGUCCAAGGCCUGUGAGAAAUGGAGCUGGCAUUUGAACCAGGGAGUUUGGCAUCAGAGCCUACACUGCCAGAUGAAAGUUUUGCUAACAGGACCUCUGCUGUUUCUCUCAAACCUAGCUCUGCAUAUUCAGUUCUGCCACCAUCACCUUGACUCAGGCCCUCUUCUCUGCUUGGCUGGAUUAUUUCAUUACUCCACUAACCAGUGUCCUCAUCUCAUCUCCUAUUAAUUAGUCCCAUGCUUUGCCAGCAGAGUGAUCUUACUAAAGCAUAGUUCUGCUAGAAAACUCUGCGGUUCUCCCUAAAGAAUGACCCAAAGCCUCUCUCAAAGUCUCAGCCUGGCCCAACCUGCCAGCCCAGCCCCAUCUUUCUCUAAUGCCUCAACACUCUCUGCUCCAAAGAGGAUGGCUUGCUACUUCUUGUCCUGCCCUUCACACCCUGGGCCUUAACUCUUCCCCUCAUCCCUCAACACCCAGCUCAUGCCUCUGCCUCCUGACCACCAGUGGGAUCUGCCAGGAGGGGGCCUCUUGGAGCACCCUACGGCGGUUUAUUAAACCAACACUGCUGCUAAUUGUGUUUGUGUCCUAUCUUUUAUAUGUGACUACAGG
rnacentral:lncRNA from 10 species